GUCAUUGAUUUCAGGACGAUGACCCAGAGGAAUACGAAAAGUGGCAAGAUUCGAAGCAUUCGGUACAACAUGGAAAUUCCGAAGCAUUGGG
rnacentral:rRNA from 1 species